AUGUUCUCCUUGUCCAUGUACCUCGCUUUUGUUUCAGUGACCCUUCGCCUCCCACACAUACACAAGUUUGAAUUUCCUGUUGGCUCUGAGAAACUCAUCAGCCUGUGGCCAAACUGAAGAUGAGGCACUUCAAACGUGGACAGAUUGAUCCUUAGAAAAUAGCCCUCAAGAUCCUUUAAUGGGCCCAUGCCAAAAGGCUUUGCCACUUGGUAGGAUCUGCCCAAGCUUACAAUCCAACUGACAUAUCCUUUGUGAAUCCAGGUUGACUUUCAUAAAGUUGUGAGUAGACAUUUAUGGAGGCAG
rnacentral:lncRNA from 1 species